rnacentral:tRNA from 1 species
GGUUCGGUGGUGUAGUUGGUUAUCACGUCAGUCUAACACACUGAAGGUCUCCGGUUCAAGUCCGGGCCGAAUCA